rnacentral:rRNA from 1 species
GGGCCCGCACAAGCGGUGGAGCAUGUGGUUCAAUUCGACGCAACGCGAAGAACCUUACCUGGGCUAGACAACGGCGGACCGUCCUAGAAAUAGGAUUUUCCCUUCGGGGACCGCCGGUUCAGGUGCUGCAUGGCUGUCGUCAGCUCGUGCCGUGAGGUGUUGGGUUAAGUCCCGCAACGAGCGCAACCCUCGUCCUUAGUUGCCACCAUUCAGUUGGGCACUCUAGGGGGACUGCCGGCGUUAAGCCGGAGGAAGGUGGGGACGACGUCAAGUCAUCAUGGCCCUUAUGUCCAGGGCCACACACGUGCUACAAUGGGCGGUACAAAGGGUCGCAAACCCGCGAGGGGGAGCCAAUCCCAAAAAGCCGCUCUCAGUUCGGAUUGGAGUCUGCAACUCGACUCCAUGAAGUUGGAAUCGCUAGUAAUCGCGGAUCAGCACGCCGCGGUGAAUACGUUCCCGGGCCUU